GAACAUUUUGGUGCGUUUCUCAGUUAUUCCGUGUCAUUUGCUUCGAACGGUUUGCCGAUUCCUCAAAGCUCCCAAGUCAACAACUAAAACAGCAGCUCGAACAAAAUGAAUGAAGCCAGAAGUUUGUUUACCACCUUCAUAAUUCUGGCAUUAUUGCUAUUUUUGCUCUAUGCCUUCUACGAAGCCGCUUUCUAAAUCAUGAUUUGAAUAGUUCAAGGAUAAUCUUACAUGUUGAAUUUUAAUUCCAACAACAAUAUUGAAAUAUGUAUGUUUAAAAUCAAAAUUACCUAUGACUAGGAUCUAAGUCGCUAGCAUUUAAUGGAUUUCUAUUAGUACCCUAAGUCAGAUGACGUCAAAGCUGCAGGCCCAAAACAGCUGCUCGGUUCGGGGCUCUCAUAAUUGGGUUGAACUGCAACAGAGGAAGCGUGUGUAUGGCGAGCUACAUUCGAUUUGGCCAGCGUUACGGUCCAUUUGGGGCGACGUGACAUCCACAACGUGCCUUCAAUAUACUUAGCUCGGACAGUCUUGGCGUCAUCUGCUCUAAUCAUAAAUAUUAACUGGCAAUUUUUGUUUCGCAAUGGAAUUCAUUCAAUUUACAAUUUACAAUUUAUAGACCAUAAUGUACAGUAUAAGUGUGUUUAACAGCAACAACACAUCAGCAUAACAAGGCGCACAUAGGAAAAUUGUUUAUUUCAUUGUUUAACACUUUGCACAUAAUAUGUAAGAUCUUUAUUUCUAUUAUUCUAUUUGCAUUUUCUUCGUAAAUAACAACAAGACCAACAGCUACACAAGCAACAAGCAACA
rnacentral:sRNA from 1 species